CGCCGCCGCUACGUCACGGCGGCCUUCCCCCGCGGAACGCGCUUACGCCGCCGUGUGGGGUUACUUGGCCGCGGCGGGCCGUUGGCGGAGGAAUGGCGGCGCGGGGCGGAGGUGCGGAGGAGACCUUCAAUGUCCUGGACCUGGCGGAGUACACCAAGAAGCAGCCGUGGUGGCGCAAGGUCUUCGCCCCCAGCUCGGGGUCCAGCGCUGAGAAGUACAACGUGGCCACGCAGCUGCUGAUCGGAGGGGUCACGGGAUGGUGUACUGGAUUCAUCUUCCAGAAGGUUGGAAAGCUGGCAGCGACAGCGGUGGGAGGUGGCUUUUUCCUACUUCAGAUUGCAAAUCACACGGGGUACAUCAAAGUGGACUGGAAGCUGGUAGAACGGGACAUGAACAAAGCCAAGCAGCAGCUGAAAUUUCACAGCAGUGGUAACAAAAUGCCUCCAGAAGUGAAAAGCAAAGUGGAUGAGAAGCAGUUCCAGCCAGUCUAGUAGCAUGAGCCCAGGUGUGUACCCCUGUGGGCAUGAAGACCGACAGCAUCCUGGCCCAUAUCAGCGAUAGUGUGGCAGCAGGGCAAGGGAAGUGAUCACCUCCCUGUACUGAGCACGGUGAGCGUAAAGACAUGUACGAAGACAUGUAGACGUGGCAGUUAGUGACAUGGUUUAGUGAUGGAUUUGGCCACCAGCCUUCCCUCCUCUCUGCAGGUAACCAUGGGCUGCCUUAAUAAACCCCUCUCCUUCAUGAUCUUGGUACCAGUCACCCCUGUUCCAAGUAGGUGGAUGCUUCUGGUGCGGGAGGUGAUUCUGCUCCCACCCUGGCUUCUGAGCCUCUCUGCCGAGCAAGUUUGUACCACCUGAGUAGAACUGGGCCUGGAGACAGGGCUUUUCAAUAGGCACAACAGAAGCCUAUAUAUUUAUUGUUUAUCAUCUGUUGGUAACUUUCCACUGUUCCUGCUCAGGUAAGACACAAUGGAAAAACGAGCAACUCGUCCAAGUGUUUGAGGUGCUUCACACAUGGUGAUCACUUUCCCCUUGUUUUCAACAAUGUUAAAGCCAGUAUGUUGUCUUAAGGGUUUGCUUUUUGAGGGGAGGCAGUGGGAGGAAAAGGCCAGCCCUGAAUUAUUCCCAUCCUGAGCAUGGGUUAUAAAAAUACCAAGCAGCUUCUGUUUAAACAUGAUGAUAUCACACGCAGCCCUGGACGGUGAACGGCAGCCAAGCCGCCUGGCUUGCAGCUACCUUGUAUUCUCAAUAAACAACCAAGCUGAGACCACA